CCUACGGGAGGCAGCAGUGAGGAAUAUUGGUCAAUGGGCGCUAGCCUGAACCAGCCAAGUAGCGUGAAGGAUGACUGCCCUAUGGGUUGUAAACUUCUUUUAUAUGGGAAUAAAGUGCAGUAUGUAUACUGCUUUGCAUGUACCUUAUGAAUAAGGAUCGGCUAACUCCGUGCCAGCAGCCGCGGUAAUACGGAGGAUCCGAGCGUUAUCCGGAUUUAUUGGGUUUAAAGGGAGCGUAGGCGGGUUGUUAAGUCAGUUGUGAAAGUUUGCGGCUCAACCGUAAAAUUGCAGUUGAUACUGGCAGCCUUGAGUACAGUAGAGGUAGGCGGAAUUCGUGGUGUAGCGGUGAAAUGCUUAGAUAUCACGAAGAACUCCGAUUGCGAAGGCAGCCUGCUAGACUGUAACUGACGCUGAUGCUCGAAAGUGUGGGUAUCAAACAGGAUUAGAUACCCUGGUAGUC
rnacentral:rRNA from 1 species